GGUUCGAGAGCGCUAGCUUACGGUCGCGUCGGUGGAAAGAACUAACGGACAUUGGUGUUGGUUGACCCGGCUAGUGAUAUCAGCGGACACUGACUUCACACCCAACACGAGUUCGUGGAUCGGUUGUCCUUAUGUUGUGUCGCAGUAGACAACCGGAUCGAUUUUUAUCGAUUAAUGCCGGCGUUAAGUGGACAACAGUAGCUUGGCUAAAUCAGUGAGCUAACUGUAGCACUAGCGUGACCACAGUCUGACUCGUAGGAAGGAAGGGAGGACGUUCACAAGCAGGGGCACGCAGCGAGCCCGACUUGUGCAAAGCAAGCAUACUUCUCUUGGCCUCCCGAGUUCCCGCAUCGUGACGCAUUUAGGAAAGGUGACUAUCUGUGACAUGUAACACUAUUUGGUUCAUGCGGUUGCUGUUAGUUGGCAACUCUAAAGUUAUUUGUCAACAACAACACGGCGGCGAGCGAGCAGGCGAGCCUCUAUAACUUUUAAAGAAGUCGUGAGUCUGACUCUUCUGAGUUAACUAGUUAGCAGACCCCGGUGUUUUAACUUGUUGUCGGAACUCGUCCCCGCUCUGGCAGCAGGGCGACAGGAACACGCCAUGGCAUCGGACGUGAUCGAGAGCGAAGCGGUGCUGAAGGGUGUGAGCGAUGUGGAUUUGAACAAUAGAAGCCCAGAUUGUGUCGCACCCAGGAGGACUCGCGAGGAGCCGGGAAACAGACGGGCGUCUCGUCCCUCGUCCUCUGGAGUGUCGGGAGAAGGUGAUGACGAGGAAUUGGGAGCGUUAGAAAAUAGCACCGCUUCUACAGUUGAAAAAGGCGAAGAGGCACUUCAAGAGAGUCCGACCAAAACAAGAGGUACGCCACAGGAAAGGAGGACUCCGGACAAUGAGCAGGAGCAGCCGGGAGCAAGACGCUCCGCCCCGGUGAGCCUUCCCCAGCCCCGCUCACCACCAGGGCCCAUCGGAAGCCUGGAGCGCCAAGAGUCAGUCGCCACAACAGAGGCACGCCUAAGAAUGGAAGGAGUGGAACUGAAGGAAGAGUGGCAGGAUGAGGACUUUCCACGGCCCCUACCGGAGGAAGAGGAGCUUGAAGAUGAGCUUUUUGCAGGACCGUCUGAAGAGAUAGACCCUGGCUAUGCAGAGAACCAUGGCAAGAAGGCAAAGAAGAAGCUCGCAGCUCCUGACAUCAGUCUCACACUUGACCGCAGUGACGGUUCUCUUCUCUCUGAUGAGCUGGAUGAAAGUACAGAGCUGGACCUCGACGACAUAGACACGCCUUCUGACAAUAGCAAUGAGUUUGAAUGGGAAGACGAUCCUCCCAAGCCGAAAACCACAGAUCUGCUUCAGAAGGGGGUGGAGUCGGUGCAGCAGUACGCCGCCUCAGAGGAGAGGGAGGAGGGGCGGCGCUGGCGGGUGUUUCGUAUCGGAGACCAGGAGCACAGAGUGGACAUGAAGGCCAUCGAACUUUACAAGAGGGUUAUCAGCCAUGGAGGUUACUAUGGAGACGGUCUGAAUGCUAUAAUUGUGUUCGCUGUGUGCUUUAUGCCUGAAAGCAAUCAACCAAAUUACAAAUACAUCAUGGACAAUUUGUUCAAGUAUGUCAUUGGCACGCUGGAGCUUUUGGUCGCUGAGAACUAUAUGAUCGUGUAUUUGAACGGGGCAACCUCUCGGAAAAAGAUGCCAACUGUCGGCUGGCUCAGAAAGUGUUAUCAGCAGAUUGAUAGGAGGUUACGGAAGAACUUGAAGUCUUUGAUAAUUGUCCAUCCCUCUUGGUUUAUUCGGACCCUGCUGGCACUCACAAAACCUUUCAUAAGCUCCAAAUUUACUCAGAAAAUCAAGUAUGUGUUCAGCUUGACAGACCUUGCAGAACUGGUUCCAAUGGAGUAUGUGUCCAUACCAGAUUGUAUCAAGCAGUUUGACGGUGAAAAAAAUAGGAAAAGCCGUAAAAGGUAUAUGCACUUGCACCCAGGGUCAGUCUCGGCAUUCUUUCGCAAUUCACAAAACUAACAAAGAAAUGAUGCGUUGGCUUUCUGAAAUGCACCAACACACUCAUUCUGCCCCACGUGCUUCAGUGGGUUGAAUUGCUGUUACCUGCUGGCCAAUAACUAUCCUCCCCAAAUGUCCCACGGCUCUCUCACAGUAGAUCUCCCUUAACCCUCCUGUUACCUUAGGGUCAACUUGACCCCAUUCAAUGUUUAACCCUCCUGUUACCUUUAUAUUUACUGACAUAUUUUACCCUCGGGGUCAAUUUGACCCCAGCAAUUAAAACCUCCAGAAAAUUAUUAGAAUUAAUAUUGUUUUCCAAGUUUAAGUGUGAGGUACUUUAUGUUUGUUUGUUGACUACCUAAAUAGCCCUUUAAAUAAAUAAAAAAGUUUAUAUUUCUUAUAUGUUUGACACAGUGAAAAACAGCCUGGGGUCAAAUUGACCCGAAAGAACACCGACAUUAAACAUUGAAUGGGGUCAAAUUGACCCUAAGGUAACAGGAGGGUUAAAAGCAGAUUGAGAAGCUGUUUGUUUGGUUUCCAUAAAACUAGAUCCCUUGUCUACGCCAAUUCUGUGAUAUUAAUUUCAAAGUCAUUUAGUGUUAAUUUUGUUCUUUAUUCAUUGCCUCAAAAUAUUAUCUGCCUUAUGCGUGUGGUUUGAAUGGUACCAUGUACUUUGAAGCCAAUUUCACACCUACUGGGAUGCUAAAUUAUUGAUUUAUGUCAAUAACAAGUUAGAAUAGUUUUGAGUUAAAUUAUUGAAUUGCUUCUUUCUGGUAUUAAAGUUGGGGCAUCAAGUAGCACUUACUUGCAUGUGUCUUUUUUUUAAACUAGGUUUUUAAUUCGAUGUGGUUGAUGCUGGAAUUGACCAGGACAUGCACGGCAAAGUGGAGAUCGCAGCCGCUGCUGUUCCAGAGUGACUCUGCUCGCACUGCAAGAUGAAGAGGAAGAGGAGGUUGUUUUCCUACAGCCGUGACUCUUUGCAUCAAGAAAGUGCCUUUUUCAAACUAUGCUGCCUGUCGCACCGUGGAACGUUUACCAGCUUAAUCUUAAGCGUUUUUCCCACAUGCUGUCUGAAACUUUUUUAAUUAAUCUCUUUUUUUAAAUUGUGUUUACUGUCAAAAUAUGUCAUACUUAUUAGCUUAUUGGUGUUCCCUAGUUACUGGUGUAUCUACACAUUAUUUAAAGCACUCUGUUACAAGUGGUUGAUGCAUGUUCUGCUUUAUUACAUUUACAUAUAUAUUUAUAUUCAAAAGGUGACAAAGGAGAGAAAUUAAUAUAUUUUUAUGGUUCUGAUUUAUAUAGUGCAUUUUAGGUCUCUGACCCAUUGAGUGUUGUUUAAUAGAACAAGUUUUGACAAACACCUUUUUCAAUGUUCACUGCUGAUGUUCUUUAUCUAAAUCGUGUCUGGGGAGAAUAACGGGUUGGUUGUUUUUCUGCCCCUCACAACGUUCCCUCUGAGAUUUGUGAGAGCAACAAUCUGACGCCAAGAUGUAGGUCUUCAUUUUACAUUUUCUUCAAGUAAAGUAAUUUAUCUACA